GGGAUUGCCCUAGUAACGGCGAGUGAAGCGGCAACAGCUCAAAUUUGAAAUCUGGCUCUUUCAGGGUCCGAGUUGUAAUUUGCAGAGGGCGCUUUGGCUUUGGCAGCGGUCCAAGUUCCUUGGAACAGGACGUCACAGAGGGUGAGAAUCCCGUACGUGGUCGCUAGCUAUUGCCGUGUAAAGCCCCUUCGACGAGUCGAGUUGUUUGGGAAUGCAGCUCUAAAUGGGAGGUAAAUUUCUUCUAAAGCUAAAUAUUGGCCAGAGACCGAUAGCGCACAAGUAGAGUGAUCGAAAGAUGAAAAGCACUUUGGAAAGAGAGUCAAACAGCACGUGAAAUUGUUGAAAGGGAAGCGCUUGCAGCCAGACUUGCUUGCAGUUGCUCAUCCGGGCUUUUGCCCGGUGCACUCUUCUGUAGGCAGGCCAGCAUCAGUUUGGGCGGUGGGAUAAAGGUCUCUGUCACGUACCUCUCUUCGGGGAGGCCUUAUAGGGGAGACGACAUACCACCAGCCUAGACUGAGGUCCGCGCAUCUGCUAGGAUGCUGGCGUAAUGGCUGUAAGCGGCCCGUCUUGAAACACGGACCAAGGAGUCUAACAUCUAUGCGAGUGUUUGGGUGUCAAGCCCGAGCGCGUAAUGAAAGUGAACGGAGGUGGGAACCCGCAAGGGUGCACCAUCGACCGAUCCUGAAGUUUUCGGAAGGAUUUGAGUAAGAGCAUGGCUGUUGGGACCCGAAAGAUGGUGAACUAUGCUUGAAUAGGGUGAAGCCAGAGGAAACUCUGGUGGAGGCUCGCAGCGG
rnacentral:rRNA from 2 species